AUACGUAGGUGGCAAGCGUUGUCCGGAUUUACUGGGUGUAAAGGGCGUGUAGGCGGAGAUGCAAGUCAGGAGUGAAAUCUAGGGGCUCAACCCCUAAACUGCUUUUGAAACUGUAUCCCUUGAGUAUCGGAGAGGCAGGCGGAAUUCCUAGUGUAGCGGUGAAAUGCGUAGAUAUUAGGAGGAACACCAGUGGCGAAGGCGACUUACUGGGCCGUAACUGACGCUGAGGCGCGAAAGCGUGGGGAGCGAACAGGAUUAGAUACCCUGGUAGUCCACGCGGUAAACGAUGAAUACUAGGUGUGCGGGGACUGACCCCCUGCGUGCCGCAGCUAACGCAAUAAGUAUUCCACCUGGGGAGUACGAUCGCAAGGUUGAAACUCAAAUGAAUUGACGGGG
rnacentral:rRNA from 1 species